UGGCACAAUAUUAGUGAAGGAAUGUUGUAAUCUAUUUUUAUAUUUGUGUAUUUCCUAUUUAUAUUAUAUAUUCAAUAACAAAAUAACAUUUUACUUUUUUUUCUUUUUCUUGUUGUAAACAACAUCCCAAUGAUACAUUAGUACGUAUCUUCACUCAGAUGGCUGCUUAUGUCCUUAGGGUAGAAGCUAGAAGGAGAAUUACUGGGCCAAGAAAUAUAAAUAUUUUUAAGACUUUUGCUACCUAUUGCAAAAACUGCCCAGGAGAAAGGUCGUACCAAUUAGCACUGCAGCAAGGAGACAUGGGCCAUCUCACCACCUCCGUUGACGGCUAGAAUUCCUUUUAAUCUCUGUUAAUUUGUCCCCCAAACACCAAACUGUUAAACAGAGAGCAACGCGGGAAGCCAGCAGCGCUGUUCUGUUGCCACGGAGCCUCAGCACGUGUUUUUGAAGUACACACAAAAAUGGACAGACGGAUGUACAUUUAUCUAUAAAUAUCAUCAGUCGGCGGAAUCCCCAGUAACAAAGAAAAAGUAGGUAAGGGGAUUGUGCCUCACACUGCCCUUCUUUCUUUUCUCUUUAAUAUUGCCCUGGAUGUGUGUUGUGAUUUCAUUUUACCAGCAGGUGUGUAUGCGUGUGUGCGUGUGUUUGGAGGUGGUGGGGAGAGGGGGGCAGGGUAUGACUCCCCACAGGGUGGUUAGUCUGCACCUUCAUAUUCCCGUGAGUUCAACCCUGGGUCCCACAUCAGACAGGCUGUCUGGAUGCUCUUUAAACUAAGCAGCAGGAUAGAUGCUACUUCUGGCAUCACCCUUUGCUACAAAGGCAUUGAAAACAAGGCCUGAGGCAAUUAGGACAUCAAAUAGUCCUGUGGCUCUUAUAAUACCUAAAUAUUAAAUAUUUAAAAAGGUA